GUUUAAAGGAAACCAAAUCGCGCCAAUUGAAGGAAGUUACAGUAACCGCAAGCAGUUGCAUGCGGUUCCGAUCGGCUGGAGGUGGUCCGGGAUAUCAGGAGAUAAUGGCCGAUCGUGUAAGAGCAAUAACUCAUCAAGGGGGCAAUCUAUAAAUAGGGUAAUAACGCCCUAAAAAGGGUUCUUUUUCCCUGUAAAUAAAAGACCACCCUUAUUUCCUCGCAAUUUUCAGCAUUUUCUAGGAGUAGUCUACUUGUAAUUUUACUGCUUUUCUCUAGGAGUUGUUCGCUAAAGUAGAAUCCUGGAGUCUGUCUGCCCCACGAGCAUCACUCUAUUGUAAACUAUAUAUCUGUCCUUGUACUUCCCAUCAGUCAAUCAGAAGAAAGUCUUUUCGGCUCUUCCAGCCGACCACGUAUU
rnacentral:lncRNA from 1 species